CUUCGGGUCCGCAUUGUAAUUUGUAGAGGAUGCUUUGGGUGAAACGCCAGUCUAAGUUCCUUGGAACAGGACGUCAUAGAGGGUGAGAAUCCCGUAUGUGACUGGAAAUGUUAACCUAUGUAAAGCUCCUUCGACGAGUCGAGUUGUUUGGGAAUGCAGCUCUAAAUGGGAGGUAAAUUUCUUCUAAAGCUAAAUAUUGGCGAGAGACCGAUAGCGCACAAGUAGAGUGAUCGAAAGAUGAAAAGCACUUUGGAAAGAGAGUUAAAAAGCACGUGAAAUUGUUGAAAGGGAAGCGCUUGCAAUCAGACUUGUUUAAACUGUUCGGCCGGUCUUCUGACCGGUUUACUCAGUUUGGACAGGCCAGCAUCAGUUUCGGCGGCCGGAUAAAGGCUCUGGGAAUGUGGCCUUCACUUCGGUGAAGGUGUUAUAGCCCAGGGUGUAAUACGGCCAGCCGGGACUGAGGUCCGCGCUUCGGCUAGGAUGCUGGCGUAAUGGUUGUAAGCGACCCGUCUU
rnacentral:rRNA from 1 species